rfam:Schistosoma rodhaini strain Burundi genome assembly, scaffold: SROB_scaffold0010136
AUCCAGCUGACAAGUCCCGAAUAGGACGAAACGCGUGUCCUGGAU